UUGUGAGACCAAAGGGCAUGACCAGGUAUUCAUAAUGUCCAGGCGGCGUGUUGAAUGCCGUUUUCCACUCAUCCCCUUCCCUAAUGCGAACCAGGUGAUAGGCGUUGCGUAAGUCUAGUUUGGUAAAAAUCUGCGCCUGUUGAAGCUGGUCGAAUACUGAGGUCAUGAGAGGUAGAGGGUAUCUGUUCUUAACGGUUAUGUCGUUAAGCGGGCUGUAGUCAAUGCAGGGGCGAAGGGUUCCAUCCUUCUUUCCCACAAAGAAAAAACCUGCCCCUGCUGGGGACGAGGAAGGUCGGAUCAACCCCGCCCUCAGGGAGGAUUCGAUGUAGUCCUUCAUGGCCUGCCUCUCGGGCCCGGAAACAGAGUAAAGACGGCCCUUCGGGAUGGUGGAGCCGGGCAGAAGGUCAAUGGCGCAGUCGAACGGGCGAUGAGGUGGUAGAGCUGUGGCCUUGCUCUUACUAAAAACCUCAGCGAGGUGGUGGUAGCAGCUUGGAACUUGAGUCAGAUUGGUGAUCUCCGAGUCUGUGACAGGGUGAGUGACGACACGGUUUAGCGUGGGGUUCUUCCCUUGGGGGCAUGAUUCCCGACAUUGGGUCCUACAACCCUCCCCCCAUACCAUAAUGUCCCCGGUGCGCCAGUUUAUGUGUGGGUUGUGAUGAAUUAACCAUGGGAACCCGAGGAUGAGAUGGUGCAGAGGUGAGUGUAUUAAAUACAGCUGUAUGCGCUCCCAGUGAUUGGUGAUGCGAAGCUCCACCGGUUCUGUAACAUGGGUUAUAGUGAACAAUGCACUUCCAUUAAGUGCGCUCGCUUUAACCGGUUUACUCAAUGGGUCAACCCGAAGCCCCAGUCUUUGUGCUAACCCCCAGUCGAUUAGGCUCUCAUCUGCCCCUGAGUCAAUCAAUACCCCCAGCUCUAGGUUCUUAUCCCGGUGCUUAAUCCUCACUGUGGUCAAUCGGCGUGGAGUAGGAGUUACUUCGGCGACUUGACUCACCGACUGGUUGGCCUUUACUGGACAGGCGGUGAUGAGGGAAUCGAGGUCCAGAGGCAGGUCCAAUGGGACCAAGAGGUCCUGGAUCUGGUCGGAGAGCCCUCUCAGAAAAACAUCGUAGAGGGACGUGGUGUUCCACCCACUCUCCAUCGCCAGGGUGCGAAAACGUAUGGCGUAUUCACAAACGGACUGUCCACCUUGCUUUAUCUGACUGAGCUCACGAGCCCUUUCUCGGUCUGUUGCCACAGGGUCAAAAACAAGUC
ensembl:lncRNA